rnacentral:rRNA from 1 species
GACGAACGCUGGCGGCGUGCUUAACACAUGCAAGUCGAACGGGAUUUAGUAAACAGUAGCCUCGGUGGAAGAUUACUAAUGAGAGUGGCGAACGGGGGAGUAACGCGUUAGCAACCUGCCUAUGACAGUGGGAUAGCCUCGGGAAACCGGGAUUAAUACUGCAUCACAUCGUAGAAUCGCAUGUUUUAACGGUCAAAGAUUUAUCUGUCAUUGAUGGGCUCGCUUCUGUUUUGCUAGUUGGUGAGAUAACAGCCCACCAAGGCGACGAUCAGUAGUCGGUCUGAGAGAAUGAACGGACACAUUGGAGCUGAGACACGGUCGAAACUCCUACGCAAUGCGGGAGUGGGGGAUAUUGCAACAUGGCGGAAGCCCUGAUGCAGCGACGACGCGUAAACGAAGAAGGUAGUCGUAUAGUAAAGUUCUGUCCUAUGGGAAGAUAAUGACAGUACCAUAGAAGAAAGCUCCGGCUAACUACGUG